rnacentral:rRNA from 1 species
AUGAACGCUAGCUACAGGCUUAACACAUGCAAGUCGAGGGGCAGCAUGGUCUUAGCUUGCUAAGGCCGAUGGCGACCGGCGCACGGGUGAGUAACACGUAUCCAACCUGCCGUCUACUCUUGGACAGCCUUCUGAAAGGAAGAUUAAUACAAGAUGGCAUCAUGAGUCCGCAUGUUCACAUGAUUAAAGGUAUUCCGGUAGACGAUGGGGAUGCGUUCCAUUAGAUAGUAGGCGGGGUAACGGCCCACCUAGUCUUCGAUGGAUAGGGGUUCUGAGAGAAAGGUCCCCCACAUUGGAACUGAGACACGGUCCAAACUCCUACGGGAGGCAGCAGUGAGGAAUAUUGGUCAAUGGGCGAGAGCCUGAACCAGCCAAGUAGCGUGAAGGAUGACUGCCCUAUGGGUUGUAAACUUCUUUUAUAAAGGAAUAAAGUCGGGUAUGGAUACCCGUUUGCAUGUACUUUAUGAAUAAGGAUCGGCUAACUCCGUGCCAGCAGCCGCGGUAAUACGGAGGAUCCGAGCGUUAUCCGGAUUUAUUGGGUUUAAAGGGAGCGUAGAUGGAUGUUUAAGUCAGUUGUGAAAGUUUGCGGCUCAACCGUAAAAUUGCAGUUGAUACUGGAUAUCUUGAGUGCAGUUGAGGCAGGCGGAAUUCGUGGUGUAGCGGUGAAAUGCUUAGAUAUCACGAAGAACUCCGAUUGCGAAGGCAGCCUGCUAAGCUGCAACUGACAUUGAGGCUCGAAAGUGUGGGUAUCAAACAGGAUUAGAUACCCUGGUAGUCCACACGGUAAACGAUGAAUACUCGCUGUUUGCGAUAUACAGCAAGCGGCCAAGCGAAAGCGUUAAGUAUUCCACCUGGGGAGUACGCCGGCAACGGUGAAACUCAAAGGAAUUGACGGGGGCCCGCACAAGCGGAGGAACAUGUGGUUUAAUUCGAUGAUACGCGAGGAACCUACCCGGGCUUAAAUUGCAGAUGAAUUACGGUGAAAGCCGUAAGCCGCAAGGCAUCUGUGAAGGUGCUGCAUGGUUGUCGUCAGCUCGUGCCGUGAGGUGUCGGCUUAAGUGCCAUAACGAGCGCAACCCUUGUUGUCAGUUACUAACAGGUUCCGCUGAGGACUCUGACAAGACUGCCAUCGUAAGAUGUGAGGAAGGUGGGGAUGACGUCAAAUCAGCACGGCCCUUACGUCCGGGGCUACACACGUGUUACAAUGGGGGGUACAGAGGGCCGCUACCACGCGAGUGGAUGCCAAUCCCCAAAACCUCUCUCAGUUCGGACUGGAGUCUGCAACCCGACUCCACGAAGCUGGAUUCGCUAGUAAUCGCGCAUCAGCCACGGCGCGGUGAAUACGUUCCCGGGCCUUGUACACACCGCCCGUCAAGCCAUGGGAGCCGGGGGUACCUGAAGUGCGUAACCGCGAGGAGCGCCCUAGGGUAAAACUGGUGACUGGGGCU